rnacentral:pre_miRNA from 1 species
UUAGAACUCCUUCCGUUCUGAAUUACUUGUUUUGGAUUUGUAUGUAUCUAGACUCAUUUUAGUGCUAGAUGCAUCCGUAUUUAAACAAAUAUAAGACAAGUAAUUCGGAAUGGAGAGAGUAAUAC